CAACCCUCAAGCUCAGCUUGGUAUUGGGUGUCACCUCUCAUGGUGCAUCUUAAAAUCAGUGGCGGUGCCAUCUGGCUUCUAGCGUAGUAAUAAUUCUUGCUAUGGAGUUUGGGUGUUUGCUUGCCAUCAACCCCUAUUUCAAA
rnacentral:misc_RNA from 1 species